GUUAGGAAUAUUGGACAAUGGGCGCAAGCCUGAUCCAGCCAUGCCGCGUGAGUGAUGAAGGCCUUCGGGUUGUAAAGCUCUUUAGCCGAUGAUUAUAAUGACUGUAGUCGGAAAAUAAGCCCCGGCUAACUUCGUGCCAGCAGCCGCGGUAAUACGAAGGGGGCGAGCGUUAUUCGGAAUCACUGGGCGUAAAGCGUGCGUAGGCGGCUUUGCAAAUUGGGAGUGAAAGCCCAGGGCUCAACCCUGGAAUGGCUCUCAAAACUGCAAGGCUCGAAUUCGGGAGAUGAUAGCGGAAUUGUCAGUGUAGCAGUGAAAUGCGUAGAUAUUGACAGGAACACCAGUGGCGUAAGCGGCUAUCUGGACCGAUAUUGACGCUGAGGCACGAAAGCGUGGGGAUCAAACAGGAUUAGAAACCCUGGUAGUCC
rnacentral:rRNA from 1 species